GGGGGAUUAGCUCAGAUGGGAGAGCGGCAUCUGCUUGCAGAUGAAUGACAGUGGUUCAAGCCCAUUAUCCUCCA
rnacentral:tRNA from 2 species